AGUGAACGCUGGCGGUAGGCCUAACACAUGCAAGUCGAACGGCAGCACAGUAAGAGCUUGCUCUUACGGGUGGCGAGUGGCGGACGGGUGAGGAAUACAUCGGCAUCUACUUUUUCGUGGGGGAUAACGUAGGGACACUUACGCUAAUACCGCAUACGACCUACGGGUGAAAGCAGGGGAUCUUCGGACCUUGCGCGAUUGAAUGAGCCGAUGUCGGAUUAGCUAGUUGGCGGGGUAAAGGCCCACCAAGGCGACGAUCCGUAGCUGGUCUGAGAGGAUGAUCAGCCACACUGGAACUGAGACACGGUCCAGACUCCUACGGGAGGCAGCAGUGGGGAAUAUUGGACAAUGGGCGCAAGCCUGAUCCAGCCAUACCGCGUGAGUGAAGAAGGCCUUCGGGUUGUAAAGCCCUUUUGUUGGGAAAGAAAAGCAGCAGGUUAAUACCCCGCUGUUCUGACGGUACCCAAAGAAUAAGCACCGGCUAACUUCGUG
rnacentral:rRNA from 1 species